UGCCCUCCUAAGGAUGGAACAUGGGA
rnacentral:piRNA from 1 species